AUGGCUCUUCUGACGGCAGAGGUGACUUGGUUACGAUGGCUACUGGAGGAUUUUGGUGUUUCUGUUACUACACCUACCACUCUCUUGUGCGACAGUACAGGUGCUAUCAACAUUGCACGGGACCCCAUGAAGCAUGAGCUUACCAAGCAUAUUGGUGUUGAUGCUUCCUACGUGCGCGCUGCUGUGCAGGAUCAUGUUAUUGCUCUUCAGUAUGUACCUUCCGAGUUACAGCUAGCGGACUUCUUCACGAAGGCACAGACUAGAGCACACCAUAGAUUUCACCUCUCCAAACUCAGUGUUGUGGAUCCACCAUGA
rnacentral:rRNA from 1 species